GGUAAUGGAAGAUCUCUGUGAGCGCUAUUUUGGUCCUUUAUUUGAACUUCUUUCACAUGAUAAGUUGGGAGCUCCUGAGAUUGUUCCAGACUAUCCAAUUCUUUCUGUUGACGACCUAGCAGAUCAAAUAGCCGAGGUUCUCAACUUUUUUGGAGGAAACAUGAAUUCAGAGGAAGCUGCAUAAAUUCCCAGAAGAACUAGUAGGCUUCAUCUUCUGCACAAAAUUCUGCUUCAUAUUUAAGUCAACUGAAGGCUAAGUGGGAAGAGUAGAAGAAAUUGCUUGAGAAGGCAAGAAAUGACGCUAAGAAGAAAUAUGAUGAAAUAAAUGAGCAGAAUAAAAUACUUCAUAGCCAUCUUGAAGCUUUGCAUAUUCGGAAGGCAAAGAAGGAGCGCAAUGCUGCUAGUAUAUCAUUUGGAAGUAGUAGUGCAGAUACAUUUGGUGAUGCUGGUCUUCAAACUGUGAUGACUUGUCUCCGGAAUUCAAAAGAAAUUGUAAAUA